rnacentral:tRNA from 1 species
GCUUCCUUGGCUCAGUUGGUAGAGCGACGCAUUCGUAAUGCGUAGGUCGGGGGUUCAAGUCCCCCAGGGAGCU